GAAUAUGAGAAUGAAUUAUGACCAUUAGAUUAACAUGAAGGUGUAGGAUUAAAAGACUACUGUAAGUGAGUCACGUGACUCGCUUUUCUCACAAACGAGCUUCUCUCUCUUCCUUCCUUCAUCAAAUUUCUCUCGAUCUCUCUUUCUCAACGCGACGCCGCUGCUCGCCGCCACUCGCCGCCGAUGGACCUCACAACGCCACACCCGUAUCUCUCGUUUUGAACAUCACCGCCUUCUUCUCUGUUCAAUUUCAUGAGUUUGGAUCUUUUCUUCUUUUGAACAUCAACGCCACACCAGGAACAAGGUACUGGUGUAGCAGUAGUUGAAGUGUAAAUGAACUAGGCACUGCUACUGAACUAGGCACUGCUGAAAUUGGCAAAUGAACUAGGCACUGCUGUCCAAGACCAGUUAAAUGAAAUUGGUACUGGUGUCGAAGACUAGCGCGAAAUUCUGUCGAAGACUAACUGAAAUUGAUGCUUAGUUUAAUGUAGUUGUAAUCUGCGACAAAGCUCACUGGUGCUUAGUUUGUAUUCACUAUGCUUACACAUUGUAAAUGAAAAAACUUGGCACUGCGUUGAUUUUGUCGAAGAUGUAGAUUGUAAAUGGGGGUUAGCUCUAUUUGUAGAGUGAUUCACAUUGUAAAUGGGAAUUAGCUCUAUCUUUGUACAAAUUGUAAUUAUCAUCUUAUAUUAAAUGAAAAAGUUUGAUUGAAUUGCCUCAAUACAUCCCUAUAAGAUACGAGUUUUCUUCUUUGCUCAUCAAAGGCAGGAUCAGAAAGAAAUCUGAAUCUUCCUACGCAUGGGACGUGCGUUAUAUGUCGUCGGGGGCGUUGGAUGGAUAGACUCGACUCAAAUUGUAUUAAACGCAAAGGGAGAUUCACAACAAGAGGAUUUGAGGGCAGAGAAAUUCAUGAGACGCAGAGAGAGAUGCAGUGAGAAAGAUGAGAGGGCUCAUGAAAUGAGAAGAUGCGGUGAGAAAGAUGAGACGAUAGGGACGCGAAGGAAGUUUAUGGGUCAGCGGAGGUUUCCCGGAACAGAGACGUCGGUGGAAGGCGGAGAUGAGGAGAAGAGCGGCAUAAGCAAAGAGACAACGGGUAAGAAGAGAAAGUGUUUUUACGUGAAGGAAGAAUUUUGAGGAGAGAGAAAGUGAAUAGUAAUAAUAAUGACACGUCACAGUGGCACAUGACUCAUUUAAGUGGUAUUCUAAUCCUACUCCUUCAUUUAAAUCUAAGGGUUGU